AAGAGGCUUCUGUCAACUACAUAUAAAAGUGUAGUAUAAUAUCUAAAGAAAGCUAACAAUUGCUUGUCUUUUUUCCAAGCAGGAGCUUCAUUUACCAUAAUCACCUCUAAGGCCUUUGGCGUUUGCAUUUUUUCCCCUUAUUCCAUCAUACAUCAGCAAAGAUAUUAGACAUAGGAAAAAGGAUACCCAUGACAGUUAAAUUCUGCUUGUCAAUUUCUAUGGGAUUCAGACAAAAAUGAGCUCCAGUGCUUGGCAGUUAAGCAAAAGUGCUGAUGUCACAAUUCCUGAGGAAGUUUUGGAGGU
rnacentral:lncRNA from 1 species